CAGUUCAAUUUACUUCUUAUUAUGCUAGCUCUCAGCUACAUUUUCUAUUGAAAUAAUUAUUAAUUUUCACCGAAAUGUAUUAUUUUUCGAAGAAUGCAGUUUUUAUCCUACUACGCCACUGCCUACAGAAAACAUGGGGCGGCCAUAUGCAAACCAUUAGGACGGUAUGCUCCUUCCUAGUAUUUUAUAUUCUAAGGUUCCGGAAAAAAAAUAAAAAUCUGUCCUAUUUACUAAAUGGUAUAAAAUGCCCUACCUAAAGAAACAAUGGAUGAAGUAAUUGAUUUCGAGUUAAUGUAUUAUUCAGCAAUUUUUAUUGUAGUCUUCAUUAUGGGGCCGAUCAAAGCGAGGGCACUGGAGCGGAGAAGUUCCUCCAACUGAAACUGAAGGAAAAACACGUAUUAAAAUCAUCGUUUGAGCCGAGAGUAUAAUUUGCGCAUGGAAGUUGUAUAUGAAAAUGAUUAAUAAACUAAUUGAUUAUU